AAAGCGAAUAGUGAAAUCUGGGGGCUCAACCUCACAGGCUAUUAUUCGAACUCACAAACUCGAGAGUGGUAGAGGUAACUGGAAUUUCUAGUGUAGGAGUGAAAUCCGUAGAUAUUAGAAGGAACACCAAUGGCGUAGGCAGGUGACUGGCUCAUUCUUGACACUAAGGCACGAAAGCGUGGGGAGCAAACGGGAUUAGAUACCCCGGUAGUCCACGCCGUAAACUAUGGAUGCUA
rnacentral:rRNA from 1 species